GCCAGACUCCUACGGGAGGCAGCAGUGGGGAAUAUUGGGCAAUGGGCGCAAGCCUGACCCAGCAACGCCGCGUGAAGGAAGAAGGCUUUCGGGUUGUAAACUUCUUUUGUCAGGGAAGAGUAGAAGACGGUACCUGACGAAUAAGCCACGGCUAACUACGUGCCAGCAGCCGCGGUAAUACGUAGGGGGCGAGCGUUAUCCGGAUUUACUGGGUGUAAAGGGGGCGCAGACGGCGAUGCAAGCCAGGAGUGAAAGCCCGGGGCCCAACCCCGGGACUGCUCUUGGAACUGCGUGGCUGGAGUGCAGGAGGGGCAGGCGGAAUUCCUGGUGUAGCGGUGAAAUGCGUAGAUAUCAGGAGGAACACCGGUGGCGAAGGCGGCCUGCUGGACUGCAACUGACGUUGAGGCCCGAAAGCGUGGGGAGCAAACAGGAUUAGAUACCCCUGUAGGU
rnacentral:rRNA from 1 species